AGCAGCCGCGGUAAUUCCAGCUCCAAUAGCGUAUAUUAAAGUUGUUGCAGUUAAAAAGCUCGUAGUUGAAUUUCGGGAUCAAUUUAUCGGUCGUGCCAAUGGUAUGAACUGGUACAAUUGGUUUCUCCCUUCUGACGAAGCAUGAUGUCAUUAAUUUGGUGUCGUGGGGAAUCAGGACUGUUACUUUGAAAAAUUAGAGUGUUUAAAGCAAGCAUUAGCUUGAAUACAUUAGCAUGGAAUAAUGAAAUAGGACGUUUGAUCCUAUUUCGUUGGUUUCUAGGAUCGACGUAAUGAUUAAUAGGGAUAGUUGGGGGCAUUAGUAUUCAAUUGUCAGAGGU
rnacentral:rRNA from 1 species